AGGGCAUAUGGUGGAUGCCUAGGCGUUCCGAGCCGAUGAAGGACGCGAUAAGCUGCGAUAAGUCAUGGGGAGCCGCAAGUAGGCUUUGAUCCAUGAAUUUCCAAAUGGGGCAACCCGGUACGAGUCAUGUCGUACCAUCCGAAAGGAAGGCACACCCGGUGAACUGAAACAUCUAAGUAGCCGGAGGAAGAGUAAUCAAACGAGAUUCCCUCAGUAGCGGCGAGCGAACAGGGAAGAGCCCAAACCGGACGUCUUCGGACGACCGGGGUUGAGGACCAGCAUCAAGGGAAGGCAAGAUAGUCGAACAGUCUGGGAAGGCUGAGCACAGACGGUGAAACUCCGGUAGACGAAAUCUUACCCAACGGGCUGGUAUCCAGAGUACCACGAGACACGUGAAACCUUGUGGGAAGCAGGGUGGACCACCAUCCAAGGCAAAAUACUACGGAACGACCGAUAGCGCAUAGUACCGUGAGGGAAAGGUGAAAAGAACCGCGGGAGCGGAGUGAAAUAGAACCUGAAACCGUAUGUCUACAAGCAGUCGAAGCACUUUAUAUGUGCGACGGCGUGCCUAUUGAAGAAUGAACCGGCGAGUUAAUUUCAGAGGCGAGGUUAAGCGGGAGACGCGGAGCCGAAGCGAGAGCGAGUCUGAAUAGGGCGUAAGUCUCUGGGAUUAGACCCGAAACCACAGUGAUCUAUGCAUGGCCAGGUUGAAGCUCAGGUAAAAAUGAGUGGAGGACCGAACCCGUGAGUGUUGAAAAACUUUGGGAUGAGCUGUGCAUAGGGGUGAAAUGCCAAUCGAACGUGGAGAUAGCUGGUUCUCCCCGAAAUAGCUUUAGGGCUAGCCUCAGGUAACACAUGGAGACGGUAGAGCACUGAUCGGGUAAGGGAGCGUAAAGCUUACCGAGCCUAGUCAAACUGCGAAUGGCUUCAUGAGAAGAGCCUGGGAGUCAGAAUGCGAGUGAUAAGACCCGUAUUCAAAAGGGAAACAGCCCAGAUCGCCGACUAAGGUCCCAAAUGCUGUACUAAGUGGAAAAGGAUGUAGGACUUCCAAAACAACCAGGAUGUUGGCUCAGAAGCAGCCACCAUUCAAAGAGUGCGUAAUAGCUCACUGGUCGAGAGGCCCUGCGCCGAAAAUAUCCGGGGCUCAAGUACAGAACCGAAGUCGCGGGAUGCGCAAGCAUCGGUAGGGGAGCGUUCCAAGCAGGUUGAAGGCAGACCGGAAGGACGGCUGGACAGCUUGGAAGUGAGAAUGCUGGUAUGAGUAGCGAAACGAUCCGUGAGAAUCGGAUCCACCGAAAGCCUAAGGGAUCCUGAGCAACGCUCGUCGUCUCAGGGUAAGUCGGGACCUAAGCCGAGGCAUAAAGCAUAGGCGAUGGACAACAGGCGAAAAUUCCUGUACUGCAUGAUGUUGUUUGAGGAUGGAGUGACACAGCAAGGAGCUUGAGCGCGCGAUUGGAAAUGCGCGUCGAAGGCGGUAGGCUGGUAUAGAGGCAAAUCCCUGUACUAAGGCCGAGAACUGAUAGAUAGGAGCGUACUUCGGUACAAUCCGAAUUCAAGCGUACUACACUGUCGAGAAAAGCUUCUAACGAGACAUCAUGUACCCGUACCAAAACCGACACAGGUAGGCGGGGAGAGAAUCCUAAGGUGCGCGGGAAAACCCUCGUUAAGGAACUCGGCAAAAUGCAUCCGUAACUUCGGGAGAAGGAUGGCCGGAGCUGGUGAAGACCCUUGCGGUUGGAGCUGGAGCCGGCGGCAGAAGAGAAGCCCAAGCGACUGUUUACCACAAACACAGGUGCCUGCUAAAGAGAAAUCUGACGUAUAGGUGCUGACACCUGCCCGGUGCUGGAAGGUUAAGAGGAGAGGUCAUUCGCAAGAAGAAGCUUUGAAUUGAAGCCCCAGUAAACGGCGGCCGUAACUAUAACGGUCCUAAGGUAGCGAAAUUCCUUGUCGGGUAAGUUCCGACCCGCACGAAAGGUGUAACGACUUGGGCACUGUCUCAACGAGGGACCCGGUGAAAUUGAAAUACCUGUGAAGAUGCAGGUUACCCGCGACUGGACAGAAAGACCCCAUGGAGCUUUACUGCAGCCUGACAUUGAUUUUUGGCAUGUAACGUACAGGAUAGUUGGGAGACGGAGAAGAUAGGCCCCCAGGCUUAUCGGAGUCGCUGUUGGGAUACCAACCUUUAUGUGCUAGGGAUCUAACUCGAGAAGUAACGAAGCUGAGGACAGUAUCAGGUGGGCAGUUUGACUGGGGCGGUCGCCUCCGAAAGAGUAACGGAGGCGUCCAAAGGUUCCCUCAGCGCGGACAGAAAUCGCGCGAAGAGUAUAAAGGCAGAAGGGAGCUUGACUGCGAGACAUACAGGUCGAGCAGGUACGAAAGUAGGGCUUAGUGAUCCGGUGGAAUGAGAGUGGAAUUGCCAUCGCUCAACGGAUAAAAGCUACCCUGGGGAUAACAGGCUAAUCUCUCCCAAGAGUCCAUAUCGACGGGGAGGUUUGGCACCUCGAUGUCGGCUCAUCACAUCCUGGGGCUGAAGCAGGUCCCAAGGGUUGGGCUGUUCGCCCAUUAAAGUGGUACGUGAGCUGGGUUCAGAACGUCGUGAGACAGUUCGGUCCAUAUCCAUCGCGGGCGUAAGAUACAUGAGGGAGACUGCUCCUAGUACGAGAGGACCGGAGUGGACGGACCGCCGGUGUACCAGUUGUUUCGCCAGAAGCACAGCUGGGUAGCUGCGUCCGGAAGGGAUAAACGCUGAAAGCAUCUAAGCGUGAAGCCCGUCCCGAGAUGAAGUAUCUCAUAGCACAAGCUAGUAAGACACCUUGA
rnacentral:rRNA from 1 species